GAUGGCGCGGCCCCGGCCCCGUUCCCUCAGGGCUCGGCCGCCAUGGCGGCUCUGGAGGUCGGUAGGGGGAAACAGCCGCGUGUUCGCUGAGGGAAUCAGUGCUUGGUCACCCGCACAGCCAAGUUCUUCCUCGUGUUCAGAUGCAGUCCAGCAAUUAAUAAGAACCCAGCACUCCUGUGUGUGGAUAACAGGAAUAUCUUCCACUGGAUUACACAAAAUAAAAAUGAAACCCCUGCUACUUCAACAGCAGCCUAGGAGGGGAAGAGCUGGGCAGACCCUGGGUUUCACUCUGUGAGGUGAGGAAAGCAAGUGUGAGCAGCCCUUGGUUGAAAUGCCACCUCCACCAGCUGGUGGGAAACUCCCGACCCACAGGAAUUUGUCUUUACCUCGGGGACUUGCUGUUGCCCUCAAUGUCAGAUGGAAAUUGAGGCAGAAAAAAACGUGUCUCUUUCUCAGAAAAAAAGUGUUUCUUGCUCAGAACCGAGAUGGGCUCUGCCAGCCCGGCUCAACCCCCUGGUUUUUCACCUGCUAAAUGGAGAAUUUUUACGAAGUUUAAUUAGUGCAAAGUGCUCUCGGUAGCAAAGAGCUUUCGGUCCGAGCAUCUCGGGCCAAGUUCUCAAAUUACAAAGCUGCAGGCAGCGACCCACGCGGCAGAGCCGCUGCUGUGCCUGCGGUGCCGGGGAGGAUCAGCAGGGCUGAAUUCGUGUCGUGAAUGAACCAGGAGGAGAGCAGGACAGGAGAUCUGCGGGGCUGCAGGACUCCUGGGUCCCUGCUGGUGCUCGCACGGUGGUUUCCCCUCUUUUGGCAGCUUUUGGAAAGAGGAGACAUUCCUUCAGCUUUGGGUUUGCAAAAUGUUUUGGAAGUGGAGAGGAGGUUGUGGGAGCCAGGAGAGUGCAAACAACCAGGAGAGUACAAACAACCAGGAGAGUACAAACAACCAGGAGAGUACAACAACCCAUCCCAGGUCCCUCUUCUUCUCCCACGGGAUAUUCAUGCCAAGCUGUCAGGCAGCCAGGGCAGGGAGAGUGCUCCGGAGUGCUCCCAGCGUUGCUAACUCAGCUGGACAGCCUGUGCUCUGCAGGGGAAGGCAAUUUUCUUGCUGCUGUCGAGUCUGCUACCUCGGGGCUGUACCAAAGCAAUGAGAUUUCACUUGCUGAGUCAGGGGCAGCGCCCGUGUUUGACAGGAGGAGGAGGAGAUGGGCUGAGUCACCUCUCCAAGUUCAUCCCCAGGCUGCUUCCCAAAAGCACAGCUCCUGGAAUGAGCCUGUAAAUCCUGGGAGGAGUGGGAGCAGGAGGGGGCCAGGAGAGCAGCCCGUGUUUGUCCUGCCUGCUGUGUUCUCCUGCAGGGCUCUCCUUGUCCAAACGCUGACUCUCUGCAGCCACAUCUGGCUCUGAGGCGUUGUGGCAGCAGCCUGGGGCUGGUGGCUCCUGAUGGUUUCGCUCUCCUGGGCACACUCACCCUGGAGUUCUGUUCCAUUAGAUCUUCUCCCCAUCAGAGCAACCCUGAGGCAUCUGCAGGGAUGGUCUCCAAGGGGGAGACAAGCUGGGAUUUGUCACCUUGUGUCUCAUUCACGUGGGGCUGUUCAGAGCUCUGGGAAUAAAGAGCAGCUGCUGUGGGCAGAUAACAGGACAGAGCAGCUCAUUCCCACUUAAACUACUUCCAAAAUGAGCUGGACAUGGUGCACUAAAUCAUUUUGAAGUCCAUUAGGGGAAUUUUAUAGCACAGAAUAAAAGAGGUCCUUCACUGUGCACAGCACAGGCAGCAGUGCCUGGUGGCUGCUUACUCAUCCCCCAGCAGAGGAGUGAGAGCAGACACAGCCUCUGCUUUCACCCCCUGGCAAGGCAUUCCUCAGGGAGGAAGGAUGGAGGGCUUGGGCCACUUUUACUCCGUGACUCACUCAAUCCCUCGUGUGAGCACAUGGUGACAUCAGGAGUGACACAGACACACCAGCCUCCUGCAGCCAGGGGCACAAGGCAAAAUAAACAGAGGUGCUGAGGCAUGAAUUAGACCACGAGCCCUCUGCAAAGCAGCUGCUGCAACUGAGCUGCCCAAAUCCCACUGGUCACACUCACAGAGGAAAAGCAGAACUCCCAGAGGCAGAGGGAGAACCGAGGCCACAGCAGAGCUCCAGGGGCAGGGCCGGCUCUGGGACUGACUGUGGGGGCUCCCUGCAGCUCCUCCUUGCCCUGGCAGCUGGAGCAAGGCUUGUCACGGGAGUGCACAGUGGCAAUUAUAGCAGCACGGAUGCCACAGGGCUGGCCAGGCUCUCUAUUUAUAGCUGCCAGCCAGCACAGCUCUCCCUCUGUGCUCCUGCUCACAGGUGAGGGCACAGGCCAUGCCCUGGAAGGCUCACAGGCCAAGCAAAAACAGAGGAAGGACUAGCAACCCCUUUGAUAAGAACCUAGAAUCACCGAUGAAAGGACAAAACAGAAAUCCACAGAGAGCCUGGAACAAUGAACUGUAACUUCUCCCCCCAAAACUGCCCUGUAGUUGGUUAACCCCUUCCCUGCCUGGAGUGCCACCUCUCUGCUCUUCCUAAUUGGUGCCAAGCAGUGUCACUGAAGUGUUCUGCGAGCUCUGGCCCCUCGGAUUGUUUCCAGCAGAGGUGGCAGAAGGGCUGUGGGCCUGCCUGGCCCUCUGCAGCCCUGGGCCUGUGGCCAGGGUGGGAGGCAGCAGCCCAGGGUGGCAGGCAGCAGCCAGGGUGGGAAACAGCAGCCCAGGGUGGGAGGCAGCAGCCCAGGAGAGCCCCCAGACACUGCCCCUGCCCCAGGGAUGAUCCAUCCCGAGGGAGCCUCUGCCAGCUCAGGGUGGCAGCUGACCACGGAUCCAAGUCACAGAGUUGUCUUUGUUUCAUGGGGAGGAUUAAACCACGACCUGCUUGUGAGCUGAACUUUGAAGUGUCUCCUCAGUGAUCUGAAACUCGAUCAUGCAACAAAGAGAGACCUCCACAAAUACUCUUUUUGUGUUUGAAGCUGGAGACCAUCCACUGGUUUAUUUUUAGGCACACAUUUGCACUGGCCCUGUUACAAUCCUGCCUCUGUUCUUGUGCAAUAAAAGCAGAGAGGAUUCUCUUGACCUCCAGUAUCAAAUACAGAGAAAAUAAGGCAUUUGUCUGGAAAAGAACCACCCAAAAUAGCAGGGAAGAGGUCAUGCUGUGCUAUGGACUGUUAGUGUUGAGAGACAAGAAAAAUGAGGAUUAUAGGUGCUGGCAGAGGACUUCUAAUGACACAUUAAUGAAAACUGCUAGAAAAUUGUAUGGUGAUGCUAAUUAGUAUUUGUAGGUUUAAGGACCUGAGAUCUUUCCCUUUUACACUAAACAUUUGCCUGAGAGUAAGAAAUAAUCCCUGCUGAGGUGAGUUCUCAGUUUUCUUUAAGGGUUUGUUCUAGAUCCUGAGCAUUUCCUUUGCUACCCACAGCUUUAACUCAGAAACAGGCUGCUGCAUGACCCAGCUGAUGUUCCCUAAACUCCUCACAGCCCCUCCUCAGCCUUUGCAACACCCUGAUGCUGAUAAUUAUCACUACAUGCAUUUUCUGUCUUGCCCUUCCUUGAAGAAGCUGGGGAAAGAGCCCAGAGGACCUGAGUGGAUGUUGAAUUUCUGUCACAUCAGCAGGGCCAGCUGCACCAGGCAUCUCCCACUGACAAGAGAAGGAAGGUUAAAACCUCUCAUGACAGGUUAACAGCAUGAUUUGCAGCAACAGCUUAAAUAAAUGGUUGCAGGCACGAAAGAGUAGCAGGCAGCUAAUCCUUUAAAGACUUAAGAGCAGCUACUACUUCAGCCCAAGUAAAUAUUUCAAAACAAAAUUAAUUAGUGGUGACUAGUGGAUUUGCUGCCCUUUGCUUUAACAGCCCAGGGUGAAACGGUGAUUCCUCCACAGAAUUUUUGCUUCAGUGCCAAACCUGCUGUUUCACAGGAGCUGAAAGUCCUCUCAAAGAAGAUUCCUCACAGUUCUGUUCCAAAGCUCUGCAGGAUCUCAUGGCUGUGUGUUGUGUGGGAGGGGAGGUCCCUUUGUGCUGCCUCAGAAUCCAGCCCAGUGCAGCGUGCAGGAAGGAAAUGUCACUUCCUGAUUCUUAUCAGAAGAAAGCUCUGUCCAGGCCACAGAACAGCUCCCAGUAAUUGCCUUUCUUCUGAUUAAAGCAGUUCCUGAACACCUUCCUAGGCACAGGAAAGCAGGGAAGGAAAGGCCUCAGGGUUACCAGCACAAACCACUCUGCUGAGCCCAGAGCAGCAAAGCAGGCAGUUCAAUCAACUGCAAACAAUCAUUUCUAAUCAACAAUUGAGUUUUCCCCCCCUCUGACCCUUGGCUCCACCACAGAACAAAGCCAGCUCCCUUGGGAGGCUCUGUCAUGGUCUUGCAGGACUGUCUGGACUAUUUUUAGUCAAAUCCAGCAUUCCUAAAAAUCCUCAGGCUGCUUUUGUGCUCAGGAAGGGGAGAGGAACUGCUGUGCAUGUGCACUUCCACAUUCCACACAGGACACAGGAGUAGGAGCAGGGAGGCACAGCUGGGUCAGCACAGAGCCCUGGGAAAAGGGCAAAAAUCCUUCUUUUCAUCGGGCUGAGAAGGCAGGAAGUGAAGGCAGGACUGUCCUGAACUGGGAGGGGGAAACCAGAGGUGUCUGCAGUGCUUGGGAGGCCAGGGAGAUCCAAGGGCUGCGUGGUGU